UAUUCAGGGGGAUAGCCCGAAGAAAUUCGGAUUAACACCGCAUAAAAUCACAGUCCAGCAUUGGAUAAUGAUCAAAUAUUUAUAGGAAUAAGAUGGGCAUGCGUGUCAUUAGCUAGUUGGCGGGGUAACGGCCCACCAAGGCGACGAUGACUAGGGGAUCUGAGAGGAUGACCCCCCACACUGGUACUGAGACACGGACCAGACUCCUACGGGAGGCAGCAGUAAGGAAUAUUGGUCAAUGGAGGCAACUCUGAACCAGCCAUGCCGCGUGCAGGAAGACAGCCCUCUGGGUCGUAAACUGCUUUUAUUCGGGAAUAAACCUUUCUACGUGUAGAGAGCUGAAUGUACCGAAGGAAUAAGGAUCGGCUAACUCCGUGCCAGCAGCCGCGGUAAUACGGAGGAUCCAAGCGUUAUCCGGAUUUAUUGGGUUUAAAGGGUGCGUAGGCGGCUUAUUAAGUCAGGGGUGAAAGACGGUGGCUCAACCAUCGCAGUGCCUUUGAUACUGAUGAGCUUGAAUGAACUAGAGGUAGGCGGAAUGUGACA
rnacentral:rRNA from 1 species